rnacentral:rRNA from 1 species
CCAAUAGCGUAUAUUAAAGUUGUUGCAGUUAAAAAGCUCGUAGUUGAAUUUCGGGAUCAGUAGGUCGGUCGUGCCACUGGUAUGAACUGGUCUCACUGGUUCCUCCCUCUUGACGAACUGCAAUGCUAUUAAUUUAGUGUUGUAGGAAAUCAGGACUGUUACUUUGAAAAAAUUAGAGUGUUUAAAGCAGGCUUUGGCUUGAAUACAUUAGCAUGGAAUAAUGAAAUAGGACGUUCGAUCCUAUUUUGUUGGCUUCUAGGAUUGACGUAAUGAUUAAUAGGGUCAGUUGGGGGCAUUAGUAUUCAAUUGUCAGAGGUGAAAUUCUUGGAUUUAUUGAAGACUAACUACUGCGAAAGCAUUUGCCAAGGAUGUUUUCAUUAAUCAAGAACGAAAGUUAGGGGAUCGAAGACGAUCAGAUACCGUCGUAGUCUUAACCAUAAACUAUGCCGACUAGGGAUCGGAUGAUGUUAAUUUUUUAAUGACUCAUUCGGCGCCUUACG